rnacentral:rRNA from 1 species
AGAAUCAACGCUGGCGGCGUGCCUAACACAUGCAAGUCGAACGAGAAAGUGGAGCAAUCCAUGAGUAAAGUGGCGCACGGGUGAGUAACACGUGACUAACCUACCCUUGAGUGGGGGAUAACCUAGAGAAAUCUGGGCUAAUACCGCAUAAUACCUUCGGGUCAAAGGAGCAAUUCGCUUAAGGAGGGGGUCGCGGCCGAUUAGUUAGUUGGCGGGGUAAUGGCCCACCAAGACUAUGAUCGGUAUCCGGCCUGAGAGGGCGCACGGACACACUGGAACUGAAACACGGUCCAGACUCCUACGGGAGGCAGCAGUGGGAAUUUGCGCAAUGGGGGAAACCCUGACGCAGCAACGCCGCGUGGAGGAUGAAGUCCCUUGGGACGUAAACUCCUUUCGAUCGGGACGAUAAUGACGGUACCGAGAGAAGAAGCCCCGGCUAACUUCGUGCCAGCAGCCGC